ensembl:lncRNA
CACAUUACCAUGAAGAGCAGUAGAGAGAUAUAGAUGCUUUUCAGGUGCCUGGUCGACAUGCUCCAUUUGAUAUUUUGCCCACAGUUAGUGUGGAGUGGAAAAGCAAAUGGGAUUUCAAAAAACCUUGAUCACCAGUCCUGAAGACCAGGAGACUUACUGAGGGCCACAUGGAUGGGGUAAGAAGAGUUUGCUUUGCUGGGAACUGUAUUGUUCAACAGUCUCUGACUUUCUCUGGAGAGUUUGUGCUUCUGUGAGUGCCUGCACCAGUGUAGAUACAUUCACUCUGGCAGCCUCACCAGGCAGUCCACGUUCUCAGUUGGGAAUGAAGACCUGCCUAAAAUACAGACACCCUCAACAUCAUGUUCAUACUGUAACCUCUCAUUUGACAUAUUAAACCUCAUUUCUUCUUGAAAAGCAGAAAAAUGACCACUGGAGUGGUUGUUUGUAUUUUUAGAAAUCCAUCGAGAUGAAAGUAACCCACAGAGUCCAAAGUGGAGAAUCCAUAACUCAGACUCCAAGCCUGGAAAAAAUCCUACCACCCCACCUGGCCAAUCCCAGCCCAGCCCCUAAAAAGACAUAAAAUUUGUGUUAAAUCACAUCUAAUGCUGCCAUAUUCCAGGGAGGCUGCCAGUGUUCUAGGGGCUAUGUAGUUCCUGCACAUGAGAGGCAACGUUGUUGUACAAGGAUGCAAUAAUGAUGCAGGUCAUGUUGGGGAGACAGUAGGGUAAACAAUUGUUGAAAGGUAUCCUCUUGAUAUGGGGUCCAUGACAAAAAGGUGGAGUAGGGAUGAACCCUAGAAGCAUAGAGAACCCUGGAGGAGGUACAGCGAUCUCAUGGUAUCUCACCCCAUCCUUAUCCAGAAUAUAAAUGUCAGAAAUGGAGGAAUGACUCAGGAUUAUUACCCUAAAAUGGAACCAGUGGAAACCCCUGUAGAGAAAAUUUAGUGCGGUGAUGAGGUGAGCCAGGUCCAAUUCCUUGCCUUGAGCCCCUGAGCAGGCUCACAGGUGCCCUCUCUCACAGCAGGUACCCUCUGGGAUCCUUCCUCCCAAGGUCACCCUCAGAUUUGCCACAACAGCAGAUAUACUCUGCUGUUUGGUGGCAAAUUCAGUCUGCUGCAGGGGACUGAAUGAACACAGCAUUUUCCAAGUGUUAGAUCUCCCCCAACCCCGGACACUGGGUAGGAAGACUUCCAUCAAAAGACUUCACCCUGAUGACGAGGCUGCUGACACAAAUGGAUGUUUCAAAAAGAGCUUCUACCUGUCCUGUUGUGAACUGAGUUUCAGAGUUGGCUGCAGCUUCCCUGGGCUGGGGUCAGAGCAGCCUGUCAACAUAUGUCAGCCCUUGGUGAUGAGCAAUUCCAUUCUCAAUGAGGUAGUUUAAAAUUGACUUCUACUGUGGUGGAGUCCCAUGAAAUAGGCACAAAUAUGUGGGGGGCCCUACUUAGACUGCAGCAUCCACCAAUGAGCUGCAGGGGUCAUUCCUCACUGCAAAAGCACAGACAGCAUAAUCAUUAAUCAACUGCCGAAACACUGCAGUUCUCCUGGGACCCAGAUAUUAUUCUCUCCUUUUUAAGGAGGUUGAUAUUCGAGACAGUUACUGUAGAAAGGAGAAGACUAAAUCCAGGCCGUAGAAUAUCUAAGAUUUUCUGGAAUUUUCUCAGAAAAGGGCACAUGAGAUGUCAGGUUGGGAUGACAUCCAAGCAGACCCUGAGGCCUUGGUUCAGGAGAUUGUACAGUUGCUGGUUAAUCAAGUGCUAGAGAUGGCCCUGGCACAGCAGACAAGUCAUGUCCAGAAGGAUCUCCUGUACUCAUCACUGUUGCAGAUACAAGCGAGGUUGGAGGCACUUUGAAAGUUAAAUUUUGUAAAUGCGUGCGUAGUAAGGAGAUGGUGCAGGAAUGAGGGAACUGAACCAGCCAGUCUCAGACAAUGAACACAAACUUGAGGUUGUAAUAAUCCCUGUAAAAAAAGUCAGACUUUUUUCAUCAUAAGCACAUAAGAUGUGAAGAGUACAUCUAGCUAAGAGUUUGUUGGAGACUUUUCCGCAGACCUUGACCUCAUCCCAGGGGCUGUGGUGGAUAUAAGGAAUUUAUCCUCAGUGUCCAUCCCUAACAUCCCCCAGUAUGCCUGUAUUUGUCUCUUUGUGCAGCUAUAACAAAAUACCGGGGCUGGGAGCAGUGGCUCACACCUGUAAUCCCAGCACUUUGGGAGGCCAAAGUGGGUGGAUCACAAGGUGAGGAGUUCCAGACCAGCCUGACCAACAUGGUGAAACCGCGUAUCUACUAAAAAUACAAAUAUUAGCUGGGUGUGGGGGCACACACCUGUAAUCCCAGCUACUCAGGAAGCUGAGGCAGGAGAAUCACUUGAACCUGGGAGGUGGAAGUUGCAGUAAGCCAAGAUCACACCACUGCACUCCAGCCUGGGCAACAGAGCAAGACUCCAUUAAAAAAAAAAAAAA